rnacentral:lncRNA from 1 species
AAAAAUAAAAUUAGUAAAAUUAAAUAAAAAGAAAACAAAGUAAAAAAAUUACAAAUGAAAAUGCUGUUAUUUCUCUAUGAUUAAAGUAUAUAUUCUUUUUUUUUUUUCAACCCAGAUUAUGUAUAUAUUCUUAUAAAAUUUAUAUUGUAUUAAAAAAAAAAAAAGAAGUAAACUUAUAACUAACUAAAACAUACCUUAACCAAACAAAUUACCAUAUCUAUAUUCCUACAAACAUCCAUUUGUGAAAUCGAAAA